GACGAACGCUGGCGGCGUGCCUAAUACAUGCAAGUCGAACGAACCUUUCAGGAUUUGGGGCUUCCGGGUUUAUAACCCGUCGGGACAUUCCCUUGUGGUUGGCCUACCUAAAGGAAACUUUUGCUUAUAGCGAAUGUGCCCUUCUGGGGGAAGAUUUUUUGCCGUUAGUGGGGCCCACGUCUGAUUAGCUAUUUGGUUGAGGUAAUGGCUCACCAAGGCGGCGUUCAGUAGCUGGUCUGAGAGGAUGAUCAGCCACCAUGGGACCGAGACACGGCACAAACUCCUACGGGAGGCAGCAGUGGGGAAUCUUGCGCAAUGGGCGAAAGCCUGACGCAGCCAUGCCGCGUGAAUGAUGAAGGUCUUAGGAUUGUAAAAUUCUUUCACCGGGGACGAUAAUGACGGUACCCGGAGAAGAAGCCACGGCUAACUUCGUG
rnacentral:rRNA from 1 species